rnacentral:rRNA from 1 species
CGGGAAUUUUGGGCAAUGGGCGAAAGCCUGACCCAGCAACGCCGCGUGAGGGAUGAAGUAUUUAGGUAUGUAAACCUCGAAAGGAUGGGAAGAAUAACUGACGGUACCAUUUAUAAGCUCCGGCUCACUACGUGCCAGCAGCCGCGGUAAUACGUAGGGAGCAAGCGUUGUUCGGAUUUACUGGGCGUAAAGGGCGCGUAGGCGGCGCGGUAAGUCACUUGUGAAAUCUCUGAGCUUAACUCAGAACGGCCAAGUGAUACUGCUGUGCUAGAGUGCGGAAGAGGCAACCGGAAUUCUUGGUGUAGCGGUGAAAUGCGUAGAUAUCAAGAGGAACACCUGAGGCGAAGGCGGGUUGCUGGGCCGACACUGACGCUGAUGCGCGAAAGCCAGGGGAGCAAACG